UACGAAGGGGGCUAGCGUUGCUCGGAAUCACUGGGCGUAAAGCGCACGUAGGCGGGUUAGCUAAGUCAGGGGUGAAAUCCUCGGAGCUCAACUCCAGAACUGCCUUUGAUACUGGCGGCCUCGAGUCCGGGAGAGGUGAGUGGAACUGCGAGUGUAGAGGUGAAAUUCGUAGAUAUUCGCAAGAACACCAGUGGCGAAGGCGGCUCACUGGCCCGGUACUGACGCUGAGGUGCGAAG
rnacentral:rRNA from 1 species